GACGAACGCUGGCGGCGUGCUUAACACAUGCAAGUCGAACGGAAAGGCCCUGCUUUUGUGGGGUGCUCGAGUGGCGAACGGGUGAGUAACACGUGAGUAACCUGCCCUUGACUUUGGGAUAACUUCAGGAAACUGGGGCUAAUAUCGGAUAGGAGCUCCUGCUGCAUGGUGGGGGUUGGAAAGUUUCGGCGGUUGGGGAUGGACUCGCGGCUUAUCCGCUUGUUUGUGGGGUAGUUGCUUACCAAGGCUUUGACGGGUAGCCGGCCUGAGAGGGUGACCGGCCACAUUGGGACUGAGAUACGGCCCAGACGCCUACGGGAGGCAGCAGUGGGGAAUAUUGCGCAAUGGGCGGAAGCCUGAUGCAGCAACGCCGCGUGCGGGAUGACGGCCUUCGGGUUGUAAACCGCUUUCGCCUGUGACGAAGCGUGAGUGACGGUAAUGGGUAAAGAAGCACCGGCUAACUACGUG
rnacentral:rRNA from 1 species